rnacentral:rRNA from 1 species
AGAGUUUGAUCCUGGCUCAGAACGAACGCUGGCGGCGCGUUUUAAGCAUGCAAGUCGAGCGGCAAGGGUCUUCGGGCCCCUAGAGCGGCGGACAGGUGAGUAACACGUGGACAAUCUGCCCCCCGGCCGGGGAUAGCCCAGGGAAACCUGGAUUAAUACCGGAUGAGACGGGACCCGCGGAGGCGGGAUCCGGGAAAGGCGCUGCGGCGCCGCCGGGGGAUGAGUCUGCGUCCCAUUAGCUAGACGGCGGGGUAACGGCCCACCGUGGCGACGAUGGGUAGCCGGCCUGAGAGGGUGUACGGCCACAUUGGAACUGAGACACGGUCCAGACUCCUACGGGAGGCAGCAGCUAAGAAUCUUCCGCAAUGGGCGAAAGCCUGACGGAGCGACGCCGCGUGAACGAAGAAGGCCGUGAGGUUGUAAAGUUCUUUUCGGGAGGGGGAACGACCGUGGCAGGGAAUGGCCGCGGGAUGACGUGAAUCCCGGAAUAAGCCCCGGCUAACUACGUGCCAGCAGCCGCGGUAACACGUAGGGGGCGAGCGUUGUUCGGAAUCAUUGGGCGUAAAGGGCGUGCAGGCGGUCCUGCAAGUCCGGCGUGAAAGACCCCGGCCCAACCGGGGGGGCGCGCUGGAAACUGCAGGGCUUGAGUACAGGAGGGGAUGCCGGAAUUCCAGGUGUAGGGGUGAAAUCUGUAGAUAUCUGGAGGAACACCAAUGGCGAAGGCAGGCAUCUGGCCAUGUACUGACGCUGAGACGCGAAGGUGCGGGGAGCAAACAGGUUUAGAUACCCUGGUAGUCCGCACAGUAAACGAUGUGCACCAGGUGGCGGGGGGUCGACCCCCGGUACCGUAGCCAACGCAUUAAGUGCACCGCCUGGGGAGUAUGCUCGCAAGGGUGAAACUCAAAUGAAUUGACGG